AAUGUCUCAAAAUAAAAGUUGAUAAACAAACUCCCAAACUUAUAAAUAGCAAACAUAAAGGAUAAUAAUAAUAACUAAGAUAACCAAAAUAAAUAAAAGACAACACAUCUAGACAAGGAAACUAAACAAAUACUACAGUGGUGGCUUAAGAGGGCAAUGACAAAAGCGAUGAAAGGAAAAGUGUUGUUAAUUGCGGCUUGGGUCGAGGUAGCUGGGUCACUAACGUCGUCAGUAAGGGAAGCAAUGGUAACAUCGUCAUCUCCUUCAACAUCAUUUGUUUGCCCGAUUUUAAUGGGAGCACCAUCUACCACCAUACGAUAGCAAACCUCC
rnacentral:lncRNA from 1 species